CGUGCAGGCGGGUUGGUAAGUCAGAUGUGAAAGCCCUGGGCUCAACCCAGGAAGUGCAUUUGAAACUGCCAUCCUUGAGUAUGGGAGAGGAGAGUGGAAUUCCCAAUGUAGAGGUGAAAUUCGUAGAUAUUGGGAGGAACACCCGUGGCGAAGGCGACUCUCUGGACCAAUACUGACGCUGAGACGCGAAAGCGUGGGGAGCGAACAGGAUUAGAUACCCUGGUAGUCC
rnacentral:rRNA from 1 species